AGCCCUAUAGUAUAGUGGUCAAGUAUACUGCCCUCUGAAGGCGGUGACCCAGGUUCGAAUCCUGGUGGGGCUA
rnacentral:tRNA from 1 species